rnacentral:lncRNA from 1 species
CUUUCUAAUCAUUUGGGGCAAUAAUUUGUCCUAUAAGCUCUGUAAAACCCAAGUUAAAAGGGGCUGUGGGGCCACAGGUAGCAGGCACUUGUUUUAUUUCUUUUAGAGUAUUAAAGGGUACAGCUUCAUUAUAGGAGACCGUGAAUGACCUCCACUGUAUAUUAGUAGCUGUCUUAAGCAUUAAGUUUCUGUUGUCUGAGUUAAGUUUCUGUUAGAUGCGCCUUUCCCUUUAAGUCAGGACUGCCCAUUGUUGCCUAGCUACUCCCGCCUUUGUCGGGUUACUUGGUUACUCCCGCCUUAAGAACUUCCGCAUUUCUCUGUGCCCUAUAUAAGCACGGCACUUCCCGCUAAUAAACAAGACUUGAUCAGAAUCCUGUCUUGUCUCCAUUCUUCGUGUCCCUUGUCCCUUUAUCAUCCCCACUCCCCUUCUACGGUCCUCACUAACUGUACCCGCCGGCCGGGACACUUCAUGAAGAUGUAUAACUUGUCCUGGAUUAUUAGGGUCUUGGAGCUCCACAACAGGGUAGACAUGUUGAAAACAUUCCAGGUGUAUGAUUAUUGAGACACUCCCUGAUCCAGCUCCACAACAAAAAGGUGAGCACCACACUGGACUCCAGAGCCUGUGUCGUUCCUUACCUGGUGGCUUUGUUCAUGAGGCAAUAUUCAGAGCAGCCAUGUUGAAUCCUGUCGGUUACCUACAGCCUGGAGAUAUGCCAGUUCUGUGCCUGGAAUUGUUCUGUACCAGUACACAGAGAAGGAAGGGAAAGAUGACGGAAAGGAGAAAUACAAGACAUACCAAUAAAAUGCAAACUUUUGAAGACAGUUUUUACAGGAUGUUUGGAGAAGGAUUUUGCAGUAGCACUGUCGUUACGUGCAGAAUGCAUUUUGUGCAAGAGGAAUAAUUUGAAUUGAUGCAAUAUUUUUGUUAGCUAUUCUACACAAGUUUGUAAUGGUACAAGGCAAUUCACUGUGGGAGGGGCCAAAGUGAUAAAGCAAGGACAGAGAGAGACUUUAACAGUAGAGAUGAAGUUUAAUUAUGUUAGCAAGUAUAAGAGAUGCUGAUGGGCAAAAUUACAAUACUGUCAUAAUUUCAGGGGCUGGUUUAAGAAAAAGAAGGAAAAUUGAGAGGAAGAGGAGACUGGCACAAAAUAAAGGAGAAAGUGAGGUUCUGAGAUCGAAUGAGGGACUAGAAAGCAGGACCGAGGAACAGACUAAGGAACUCAAUGGGAAAGGGUAGGGGCUGACGUGAGGGGAAAGUGAAGGGGACAGGAGGAUGGAGAAAGGGUGAGUGACAGAAAAGGAGAUGGAGUGGGAGCGGUGGACCCCUGUGAGGGUGAUCAGCAGUCUGGAUUUCCCUGAGACGGUCACAGAUUUUGUAAGGAAAGUCUUCUGUCCUUGGAAAUCCCUCUUGAGACUUCAAAAGUACCAAAUUUCAGGGAUGAUGAGUAGGAAAAGUUGGAAGAAAAAGUACAUAACCCAUAAUUUGGUUUAAAAGUCUGGCUGAAAGAACUUCAUUUAGUGUCAAGUGGAUAAGGCAUAGGUUCUGUGCAUUUUCUAGCCACUAUUGCUGCUUUGUCCCCUGAUUCCUGAUGUUGGCGUUUGUGAUUUGCAGUUUACAACAUGGAUUAUCCAUUGUAUUCCUCCACAAUAUUGUGAUUUAGGUGCAGAACUUAAAUGCAUUGCAAUUACAGCAUUAACAAUCCACUUUGACUGUAGUUAACUGCUGUGCUUUGCAGCCACUAAGAUGGUAGUUAAUUUUUUUUUUUUUUCUUUUUUUUUUUUUUGGUUUUUCUCCUGU